rnacentral:rRNA from 1 species
GACGAACGCUGGCGGCGCGCUUAACACAUGCAAGUCGAGCGAGAACCAGGGCUUCGGCUCUGGGGACAGCGGCGAACGGGUGAGUAACACGUGGGUAAUCUGCCCUCGGCACCGGAAUAGCCCGGGGAAACCCGGAUUAAUGCCGGAUGGCCCCUUCACCUCGCGAGGUGUCGGGAAAAGGUAGCUUUGGCCUCCGGCCGAGGAUGAGCCCGCGGCGGAUUAGCUUGUUGGCGGGGUAACGGCCCACCAAGGCAACGAUCCGUAGCUGGUCUGAGAGGACGAUCAGCCACACUGGGACUGAGACACGGCCCAGACUCCUACGGGAGGCAGCAGUGGGAAGCUUGCGCAAUGGGCGAAAGCCUGACGCAGCGACGCCGCGUGAGGGAAGAAGGCCUUCGGGUUGUAAACCUCUUUCAGGAGGGACGAAGCCACUCGGGUGAAUAGCCCAGAGGGUGACGGUACCUCCAGAAGAAGCCCCGGCUAACUACGUGCCAGCCGCCGCCGUAACAC